UACUAAGGAACAACGCUAAGUUCGCGACGUCCUGUCGCAACGCCUUGUACCCACCAUCCUGUGGG
rnacentral:sRNA from 1 species